rnacentral:rRNA from 1 species
GACGAACGCUGGCGGCGUGCUUAACACAUGCAAGUCGAACGGAAAGGCCCUGCUUUUGUGGGGUGCUCGAGUGGCGAACGGGUGAGUAACACGUGAGUAACCUGCCCUUGACUUUGGGAUAACUUCAGGAAACUGGGGCUAAUACCGGAUAGGAGCUCCUGCUGCAUGGUGGGGGUUGGAAAGUUUCGGCGGUUGGGGCUGGACUCGCGGCUUAUCAGCUUGUUGGUGGGGUAGUGGCUUACCAAGGCUUUGACGGGUAGCCGGCCUGAGAGGGUGACCGGCCACAUUGGGACUGAGAUACGGCCCAGACUCCUACGGGAGGCAGCAGUGGGGAAUAUUGCACAAUGGGCGGAAGCCUGAUGCAGCAACGCCGCGUGCGGGAUGACGGCCUUCGGGGUGUAAACCGCUUUCGCCUGUGACGAAGCGUGAGUGACGGUAAUGGGUAAAGAAGCACCGGCUAACUACGUG